ACGGAGGAUGCAAGCGUUAUCCGGAUUUAUUGGGUUUAAAGGGUCCGCAGGCGGACUUGUAAGUCAGGGGUGAAAUCCGGCAGCUUAACUGUCGAACUGCCUUUGAUACUGCAAGUCUUGAGUGAGAAUGAAGCAGCUGGAAUGUGUGGUGUAGCGGUGAAAUGCUUAGAUAUCACGCAGAACGCCGAUAGCGAAGGCAGGUUGCUAAUCCUCAACUGACGCUGAGGGACGAAAGCGUGGGGAGCGAACAG
rnacentral:rRNA from 1 species